rnacentral:rRNA from 1 species
AACGAACGCUGGCGGCAUGCCUAACACAUGCAAGUCGAACGAGACCUUCGGGUCUAGUGGCGCACGGGUGCGUAACGCGUGGGAACCUGCCCUUAGGUUCGGAAUAACUCCCCGAAAGGGGUGCUAAUACCGGAUAAUGUCUUCGGACCAAAGAUUUAUCGCCUUUGGAUGGGCCCGCGUUGGAUUAGCUAGUUGGUAGGGUAAAAGCCUACCAAGGCGACGAUCCAUAGCUGGUCUGAGAGGAUGAUCAGCCACACUGGGACUGAGACACGGCGCAGACUCCUACGGGAGGCAGCAGUGGGGAAUAUUGGACAAUGGGCGAAAGCCUGAUCCAGCAAUGCCGCGUGAGUGAUGAAGGCCUUAGGAUUGUAAAGCUCUUUUACCCGGGAUGAUAAUGACAGUACCGGGAGAAUAAGCUCCGGCUAACUCCGUG